ACAUGCAGAUGGGAAGCUUCCAUGAGGCUGGGAAAGCCAAAGAAGGAACCACAAGGCAAGGGGUGCAGGUACCCUGGAAGCUGUAAAAAAUAAGCAAUGGAUACCUCCUAGGAGCCUCCAGAAGGAAGCAAGUCCUACACACAUGUUGAUUUUGUUUCCUGAAAAAGGCUCUCACAGAUGCCAGGCUGGACUAACACUCAGUAUGUACCCAAGGAUGGCCUUAGACUCCUCAUCCUCCUGCCUCUACCUCCCAAGUGCUGAGAUUAGAGGCCCGUGCCACCACGCCUGGCUCACACACAUGCUUUCUGUCUCUGCAAAGUGAAGACACUGAGAGGCAUCCAGGAUGCCAGUCACCUACUGAGAAGCCAGUUAAGUGCCUUGAGAUGCGGAGACAUUUGGGACAAGCAGAGGUGCAAAGCGCUGGGAUCCCAUUCCCAUGAUCCAGGGCCUAUCACACCUGGAGAGUCAUCUGCCACUGAGCUACGCCACAGCCCUUCCUGAGGUAAAUAAAUAUGUUAGUCACCUCCAAGAAGAAGGUGUCAUUGCCUCUAGUUACAAUGAGGGGACUGUGGCUCUGAGGAACAUGAUGACAGCUAUGUUGGACUCUACACUCAGCCACAGCCUUAAAAAAAAAAAUCAGGAGUUUGUAAGUCAUUUUGGUGGUAGGCACUGAGGACAUUGCUUCUGUGCUCUGACCUCCAGUGAUCUGUGAGCCGCUCAAUGAAUGUCUGUGCCCCCGUUAGACAGUUCUUGCAGAGAACUUCCUCUCUCGUCCCCAGCUCCAACAGGCAGGAAGCCUCAAUAAAAACACA